GGCUCAAGCGACCACGUUAGGUCGCGCUCGCCGCAUGCUAGUGGGACAGGCCCUUAAAGAUUCUGGCGACGUCAGUGGGAUUCUGGAUGCCCCAGAGGUGAUCAUCAAUGGCACCAUAUUUACCAGCAAGUGGUGCCAUAUCUGUAAGAUCUACCGUCCCCCAAGAUGUCGACACUGCUACAGCUGCGAUGUGUGUGUAGAGGAUCUUGACCAUCACUGUUUCUUCCUUAAAAAGUGCAUUGGGAAAAGAAACCAUCGUUUUUUCUACACUUUACCAUUUCCCUAACUGUCUAUUUUCUUCUCAUGUUUUCCUUCUGCACUAUCUUUCUAGUGAAGAAUCCCAAUACAAUAUUUCUAUCCAAGAUCACCACUUUUAUUCUUGCUACAAUUUCGCUUCUUGCUUCUGUACCGUUAUUUUUCUUUUUCGCUUUUCAUACUUACCUCAUCGCAGCUGGAAUGACCACGUAUGAGCAGAUUUUGAGGACAUAUAAAAAUGAUCGGAAUCCUUUUCACAAAGGAUGUUGGAGAAACUUUACUGUCCUGCUGUUCGGUAACCAGCUAUCGAGGUAAGAUCGCCUUGUAAAUAAGAAUUUGAGACAACGUAAUGUAUUGGCCAAUCUAUUAUUUAAAUACAGUAUGAUAUUAAAACACUAUGAGAUAAACCAUUUCACCAGUGAUGGAAAUAUAACACAAUCUAUAAUUAUAUAGAUAUAGCAAUACAAUAUAAUAUAGCAAUCACCGUUCCCUUAAAUAAUCCUGAUAAAUUUAGAUUGAAGCUUUGCAGACUGAUAACACUUCUUUUACUAUCCAGUUCCAAUGAAGGGUCUUUGACCUAAAAUCUCAACUCUAUUUCUCUUCCUACAGAUGUAGCCUGAUCGGCUGAGUAUUUCCAGCAUUUUCUGGUUUUAUUGUGGCAUUUAAAUGAACCUCCUUGAGGGAGGAUUUCUGCUGCCUGGCAUCAGGCCACAGCAAAUUCACAUCCUGAAGUGUCCCAGCAAUGUACACUGCUGUGUGAGGAUCUUUACCAGAUGAACUGCGAUGGUUCAAGAUGGUAGUCCCCCAUCGCUUUCUCAAGGGCAAUUGAAAAUAGGCAAUAAAUGCAGAUCCUAUUAGGGACACUCGCACUUGAAAAAUAUAUUGAUUUUCUUUAGCCAGAGGGUGGUGAAUCUGUGGAAUUCAUUGCUACAGAUCGCUGAGGAGGCCAAGACAUUAAGUAUUUUUAAAGCAGAGAUUUAUAGGUUUUUGAUUAGUAAGGGUGUCAAAGG